AUGCCUCUCUGACAGACCUAGAGCAGUUAAUGUUUGUUGCUAAGGUUUCCCCUACAGAUGCAAGAAAAAGAAGCUUUUUCUGAGCUUUCUGCCUGUCUGGUUGUGGCAGCCAAGAUUAAAUGGGUGAAUACAUGU
rnacentral:snoRNA from 1 species